UGUGGCGUCUUUCUGAACUCCCUCGACCGUCCGAGCUUCCAUAAUGCCAUCUAGACUUCUCCAAUAAUGAGCUCCCCCAUUCAUCUACCAGACUGCUCCAAAUGCUCUCUGGGCUUCAUUAUCAGUCGACUUUUCACAGUGAUUGGCUACCCUCUGAAUCUCUUCCAGACUUCCUCUUGCCACGAGCAACUUUACUCCAAACUUCUUUCGGACUUCGUCAAUGUCC
rnacentral:lncRNA from 1 species